rnacentral:rRNA from 1 species
ACGGCUACCACAUCCAAGGAAGGCAGCAGGCGCGCAAAUUACCCAAUCCCGAUCCGGGGAGGUAGUGACAAUAAAUACCGAUGCAGGGCCCUUUUGGGUCUUAUAAUUGGAAUGAGUACAAUCUAAAUCCCUUAACGAGGAACAAUUGGAGGGCAAGUCUGGUGCCAGCAGCCGCGGUAAUUCCAGCUCCAAUAGCGUAUAUUAAAGUUGUUGCAGUUAAAAAGCUCGUAGUUGAACCUUGGGCCUGGCUGGCCGGUCCACCUCACCGCGAGUACUGGUCCGGCUGGGUCUUUCCUUCUGGGGAGCCCCAUGGCCUUCACUGGCUGUGGCGGGGAACCAGGACUUUUACUGUGAAAAAAUUAGAGUGUUCAAAGCAGGCCUUUGCUCGAAUACAUUAGCAUGGAAUAAUAGAAUAGGACGUGCGGUUCUAUUUUGUUGGUUUCUAGGACCGCCGUAAUGAUUAAUAGGGAUAGUCGGGGGCGUCAGUAUUCAGCUGUCAGAGGUGAAAUUCUUGGAUUUGCUGAAGACUAACUACUGCGAAAGCAUUCGCCAAGGAUGUUUUCAUUAAUCAGGGAACGAAAGUUAGGGGAUCGAAGACGAUCAGAUACCGUCGUAGUCUUAACCAUAAACUAUGCCGACUAGGGAUCGGACGGUGUUUCUAUGAUGACCCGUUCGGCACCUUACGAGAAAUCAAAGUUUUUGGGUUCUGGGGGGAGUAUGGUCGCAAGGCUGAAACUUAAAGAAAUUGAC